UGGGUUCCGGUGGGGGGCCGAAGGGCCGGAGACUUGGGUUCGGCGAAAACAGAGAAGAAAAGAAAACGGGAAGAAAGGAAAGAAGGAAAGAAGGAAAGAAAGAAGAAAAGAGGGAGAGGGGACUCAUCAGCUCGGCGUCGUGUGCGGUGGCCGCCGGCUUCGGCUGCGAGCACCGUCGACACGAGCGUCGACCGCAGGCGCGGCCGAGAGCGUCGUAGGCUCGGCCGGGGACGCCGCGGGGCCUGGCCGCGGACGCCUCCGCUCGCCGUCCUCCCCUCCGCUCGCCGUCCUGCCUUCGUCGGAGAAGAGAGGAGGAGAAAGGGUGAAGAGUGGAGGGAGUGAAGAGUCGGGAAGGCUCUGGAAAAGAGAAGAAAAAAAAAGAAAAGAAAAAGAGGGAGAAAGAAAAAGAAAAAGAAAGAAAAAAAAAGAAAAAAAAAAGAAGAGAGAGAAGAGCCCCUUAACGGGUCCGGCCUAACGGGACGAAUCGGGGUUCGGGUCCGAAACCCGUUAAGCCUAAAAAAAUUGAAAUGGGUUAAGUAAACCCAAUUAAACCGGACCCAAUCUAGUUGGGUGAGCCCGGAUGAGGGAUUGAGUGGGAUCUGAACCCAAUUGAACCUGAACCGAG
rnacentral:lncRNA from 1 species